UAUUGUCAAGCCACGAUUUGGCCGCGUA
rnacentral:sRNA from 1 species